GACGAACGCUGGCGGCGUGCUUAACACAUGCAAGUCGAACGGAAAGGCCCUGCUUUUGUGGGGUGCUCGAGUGGCGAAAGGGUGAGUAACACGUGAGUAACCUGCCCUUGACUUUGGGAUAACUUCAGGAAAAUGGGGCUAAUACCCGAUAGGAGCUCCUGCUGCAUGGUGGGGGUUGGAAAGUUUCGGCGGUUGGGGAUGGACUCGCGGCUUAUCAGCUUGUUGGUGGGGUAGUGGCUUACCAAGGCUUUGACGGGUAGCCGGCCUGAGAGGGUGACCGGCCACAUUGGGACUGAGAUACGGCCCAGACUCCUACGGGAGGCAGCAGUGGGGAAUAUUGCACAAUGGGCGGAAGCCUGAUGCAGCAACGCCGCGUGCGGGAUGACGGCCUUCGGGUUGUAAACCGCUUUCGCCUGUGACGAAGCGUGAGUGACGGUAAUGGGUAAAGAAGCACCGGCUAACUACGUG
rnacentral:rRNA from 1 species